UUUCAUAAUUCUCAAAAGCUCUUAAUGAAAAACUAAACAUUUCUUUGCUCUGAAUCCUAAAUCAAAACAUCAUUAAACAGAAACAGAACCAUCAGAGAAAGAAGAGAAACCUAAAACUAUCUCUUUCUUCUUUAACAAAACGAUCUAAAUCCACACAGUAAAGCCAUCUGAGUCCACAGAUCCCGCUGAGGCAAGAGGCCGUUAAGGGAACAGGACGACCAGGCUGCAGGUCACUGGAAGGAGAUCAGAAAGGGAAAGAAGAGAAGAUAAUUUAGGUAAUAAUACUCGACUUUUAUCUCUUGGUGGAAGUUGUUGAUGAUUGUUGAUGGAGAGAUUUAUAGAGGAAGAGCAAUCUCUCAGAUAGAAGCAGAUCUUUAAUUAUUAACAUGAAUUACAGAUAUUGUUUAGGAGAAUCUAAAGAAUAUAUAAUAAAUCCAACUACAAAAAUAACAUAUAAUAAAUAUAUGAUGAUAAUAGAUUUUAAUUUAAGAUCUUUUAAACAGAGUUCGUAUCUGUUUAGCAAACAAGAACUUGUUAGAACAGAAGACUUGUUAGCAGUAGACUCACUUAAAUUACCUCAAGAAAUAAAAAGAAAAAUUAUAAAUAAUAUUGAAAUAGAUAACCUAAAACAUAAUAUAAUCAUGUUAACAAAGAAGAAGGAAUAGAUGUAGCAAAAGCUUAUUUAGAACAAAAAAUUUACAAAGACGGACCUUCAUAUACCUAUAAUUCAGAAAAUGAAGAAUUUGAAAUAUAAUUGUGAGAAGUAUAUAGGCUGGAAACCUCUUCGGGUUGCGGGCUACUGGUCCAAAGGGCGACAUAGAUCGCUGUACCUAGAGGUAGAACAACGCCACGUACUUUUCCAAAAAAUUUAAAAUACAUAAAAAUAUAUUUCUUAUGUUAGAUGUACAUAAAUGUAUGUUUGUCUUAUGAGUUAAUAAUAGAAUUUUAUUUUCUGCAAUAACUAUGCCUUUAAUUUAAUAUUAAGCAUAGAAUUUUGUUUAAGAUAAUUAAAUUAUCCUGUAAAUUUAAGAUUGUAAAUUUAAUAUUUCUGUAAUUUUGUUAUCAUUGUAUUUUUUUUUUUGUUAACAUUUUAUUGCCCCCGGCAAAAAUGGUAUCAGGGCCAUAGAGCCAGAGAACCAUAAAAUGGAUCCUAUACAGGCAAUAAUUGAUAGUUUAUAUACAUUAAAAGUAUAUAAUAAAGAAGAAAUAAAAAAUUUAAUAAAGGCAUUAAAAACUGAUAAAAAUAAUAUAAGAAACAUAGAACUUGAAUUAACCGAGGAGCUUAGAGAAAGAUUUAUAGAUACAACAGGUGGUGAAAUAUUGAUAGAAAAGAAAAUGAAAUUUAUUGAUAAUUUCAUAAAGUUUUUAAUAUAUUGGUAUAAAACAGAAACACUAUGAAUCAAGCUGUGAAUACGAUAUAAAAAUUGGCAAGUAAUAUAGACCGUAUGUUUUUAGGAUGAGAAAACAUAAUAAAUACAUAUAUAAAUUUAAUAAACCAAAAAAUAGAUUUGUUAGAGCAAGAAAGAAUAGGACUGAUAAAUUUAGGACCAGAAAUUUAUUUUGAAUUUAUAAAUUUAUAUGAAUUUGAUAAUCAUUUAUUGUUAUUCAAGGAAAUAAAUAAAACUUUAGAAAGAAUAAAAAAUAGAUGUAGGAGGGAUAGGAGAAGAUAAAUACUUCCUCAAUUAUAGAAAUUGAAAAUAAAAAAAUAAUAAGGACUUAAAUGAAAUUUGCCACGAAGAAUAAAACAAAAGUCGUAAGAUACAUUGAAUAUAACUUAGGCAGUCCCAACAAAAAAAAUCACAUAAACGUUAAAAAUCAUUAAUGAACGGAGAUUUGUGUCGUUAUUCUUGAAACGUUGAGGUCUGUUCAUGCAUUCGUCCAACAUUUGAGAAUCUAGGUCUCAUUUUCUCUUUAUAUAUACUACAUAUAAUUCAUUGAACUUGAGCCUCAAAAGAAUUUGCCAACCAAAUUAAUCAAUCGUGCUUGUUUGCUAAAUACAUGAAUGUAAUCCGAUUAACAAAAUGAAAAUGUUUUUCAAGUCAUCAUGAAAUGCGUUAAUUUUGAUUGAAUUGUUCGUUUUCGGUCGAUGAUCUAUGCGUUACUUUUUGGCCUAACGAGUAGUUAAUGAUCUAUGAUUUAAAUAGCAUCCUCCCAAGUUCUAGAAUUAAAUUUCUUGAACAAAUUUUGACUAGGCAAAGGCUUGAAGCAAUUGGGAUUUGUUGACUUGCAAAAAUAAAUGACUAUUACGUGUAUGAAGUGAUGGGGAGUUGGAGAAUUAAUUAAGGUUUUCAUAUUGAAAAUGAUACAAUCUGUCUUUAUGAUUUGAGAGGAUUAUUAGUUUUACAACAACCCUAGGUGUUGUCAAAAUCUCGUGGAAGUCUUAAAUGGACAAAUUGUAAGUUUUAGGCUCGGUUUGGUAACGUUGUAACUUUUAAAAUAAUUAUUGUUAGUUGUGCUAUAUGAAUAAUUAAUUGUGAAUAAAAUCAAUUAAAUAUUUAGUAAAAUUUAUUAUUGAAAGUACUGUAAGUUUUAAAAGAAAUUGUAUGUGUUUGGUGAAUUUUAUUAUUAACUACUGUAAUCUAUUUUAAAGUUAAUAAUUUUAUUUCCUAAUUAAUAAAUAUUGUUGGUUGUAAAUUUUGAACAAGAAAUAUUCGGGGCAUGAGAUGUGUUGGGACAUUACUCUUGACUUUUAAGCCCUUGAAAAGAGUGAAGGAGGAGUUGAAGGGACAAGGGCAAAUGAGAAGAUCCUAGAAAAUCAACUUUAGGUGCCCAAAUCACCUAAAAAUUAGGGAAAAUGCCUCUCCGGAUAUAAUAAGAUUGCCACAUAUCAAUAUAGGACCAAAAUAACAGUGACAACUCCACCAGUGACUCGAAGACACAUCAUCACAUAUGGUUCCCCCUGAUGGUGCAUCAAGUAUAAAAGAAGAAUCAGGCUACGGUGUAACUACGGUACCGUGCCACAGUUGCAUCCAACCAUUGGAUGCACUUAGAUUGGUGGGGUUCACUGGCAUCCAACGACUGGAUGCAGUUGCACCACAUGUUUCCCCAUAAAAGAAAUAUUAUAUUUCUUUUAUUUCAGUAGUUUUCUUUUAUUUCAGUUUCAUCUCCGUCGCAACCUUCCCUAGAAAGUUGUUUUUGUGCAACUUAGUCUCCACCAUUUCCAUAAAGCCAUUUGCAUAAAAGAAACCUUAUUUUUGGCUUAAUCAAAAUUACACCAAAACAAGGAUAAUUUAGAUUUUAAUGAUAUAUGUGAGGACAUAUAUAAAAUUGUACCAAAUAUAAAAGUGAUUCUUAUUCUUUCCUUUGAAAUUGUACUAAGUAUAAAAAGUGAUGCUCA
rnacentral:lncRNA from 1 species